ACUAAGCGUACACGGUGGAUGCCCUGGCAGUCAGAGGCGAUGAAGGACGUGCUAAUCUGCGAUAAGCGUCGGUAAGGUGAUAUGAACCGUUAUAACCGGCGAUUUCCGAAUGGGGAAACCCAGUGUGAUUCGUCACACUAUCAUUAACUGAAUCCAUAGGUUAAUGAGGCGAACCGGGGGAACUGAAACAUCUAAGUACCCCGAGGAAAAGAAAUCAACCGAGAUUCCCCCAGUAGCGGCGAGCGAACGGGGAGCAGCCCAGAGCCUGAAUCAGUGUGUGUGUUAGUGGAAGCGUCUGGAAAGGCGCGCGAUACAGGGUGACAGCCCCGUACACAAAAAUGCACAUGCUGUGAGCUCGAUGAGUAGGGCGGGACACGUGGUAUCCUGUCUGAAUAUGGGGGGACCAUCCUCCAAGGCUAAAUACUCCUGACUGACCGAUAGUGAACCAGUACCGUGAGGGAAAGGCGAAAAGAACCCCGGCGAGGGGAGUGAAAAAGAACCUGAAACCGUGUACGUACAAGCAGUGGGAGCACAGAGCAAUCUGUGUGACUGCGUACCUUUUGUAUAAUGGGUCAGCGACUUAUAUUCUGUAGCAAGGUUAACCGAAUAGGGGAGCCGAAGGGAAACCGAGUCUUAACUGGGCGUUAAGUUGCAGGGUAUAGACCCGAAACCCGGUGAUCUAGCCAUGGGCAGGUUGAAGGUUGGGUAACACUAACUGGAGGACCGAACCGACUAAUGUUGAAAAAUUAGCGGAUGACUUGUGGCUGGGGGUGAAAGGCCAAUCAAACCGGGAGAUAGCUGGUUCUCCCCGAAAGCUAUUUAGGUAGCGCCUCGUGAAUUCAUCUCCGGGGGUAGAGCACUGUUUCGGCAAGGGGGUCAUCCCGACUUACCAACCCGAUGCAAACUGCGAAUACCGGAGAAUGUUAUCACGGGAGACACACGGCGGGUGCUAACGUCCGUCGUGAAGAGGGAAACAACCCAGACCGCCAGCUAAGGUCCCAAAGUCAUGGUUAAGUGGGAAACGAUGUGGGAAGGCCCAGACAGCCAGGAUGUUGGCUUAGAAGCAGCCAUCAUUUAAAGAAAGCGUAAUAGCUCACUGGUCGAGUCGGCCUGCGCGGAAGAUGUAACGGGGCUAAACCAUGCACCGAAGCUGCGGCAGCGACGCUUAUGCGUUGUUGGGUAGGGGAGCGUUCUGUAAGCCUGUGAAGGUGUGCUGUGAGGCAUGCUGGAGGUAUCAGAAGUGCGAAUGCUGACAUAAGUAACGAUAAAGCGGGUGAAAAGCCCGCUCGCCGGAAGACCAAGGGUUCCUGUCCAACGUUAAUCGGGGCAGGGUGAGUCGACCCCUAAGGCGAGGCCGAAAGGCGUAGUCGAUGGGAAACAGGUUAAUAUUCCUGUACUUGGUGUUACUGCGAAGGGGGGACGGAGAAGGCUAUGUUGGCCGGGCGACGGUUGUCCCGGUUUAAGCGUGUAGGCUGGUUUUCCAGGCAAAUCCGGAAAAUCAAGGCUGAGGCGUGAUGACGAGGCACUACGGUGCUGAAGCAACAAAUGCCCUGCUUCCAGGAAAAGCCUCUAAGCAUCAGGUAACAUCAAAUCGUACCCCAAACCGACACAGGUGGUCAGGUAGAGAAUACCAAGGCGCUUGAGAGAACUCGGGUGAAGGAACUAGGCAAAAUGGUGCCGUAACUUCGGGAGAAGGCACGCUGAUAUGUAGGUGAAGUCCCUCGCGGAUGGAGCUGAAAUCAGUCGAAGAUACCAGCUGGCUGCAACUGUUUAUUAAAAACACAGCACUGUGCAAACACGAAAGUGGACGUAUACGGUGUGACGCCUGCCCGGUGCCGGAAGGUUAAUUGAUGGGGUUAGCGCAAGCGAAGCUCUUGAUCGAAGCCCCGGUAAACGGCGGCCGUAACUAUAACGGUCCUAAGGUAGCGAAAUUCCUUGUCGGGUAAGUUCCGACCUGCACGAAUGGCGUAAUGAUGGCCAGGCUGUCUCCACCCGAGACUCAGUGAAAUUGAACUCGCUGUGAAGAUGCAGUGUACCCGCGGCAAGACGGAAAGACCCCGUGAACCUUUACUAUAGCUUGACACUGAACAUUGAGCCUUGAUGUGUAGGAUAGGUGGGAGGCUUUGAAGUGUGGACGCCAGUCUGCAUGGAGCCGACCUUGAAAUACCACCCUUUAAUGUUUGAUGUUCUAACGUUGACCCGUAAUCCGGGUUGCGGACAGUGUCUGGUGGGUAGUUUGACUGGGGCGGUCUCCUCCUAAAGAGUAACGGAGGAGCACGAAGGUUGGCUAAUCCUGGUCGGACAUCAGGAGGUUAGUGCAAUGGCAUAAGCCAGCUUGACUGCGAGCGUGACGGCGCGAGCAGGUGCGAAAGCAGGUCAUAGUGAUCCGGUGGUUCUGAAUGGAAGGGCCAUCGCUCAACGGAUAAAAGGUACUCCGGGGAUAACAGGCUGAUACCGCCCAAGAGUUCAUAUCGACGGCGGUGUUUGGCACCUCGAUGUCGGCUCAUCACAUCCUGGGGCUGAAGUAGGUCCCAAGGGUAUGGCUGUUCGCCAUUUAAAGUGGUACGCGAGCUGGGUUUAGAACGUCGUGAGACAGUUCGGUCCCUAUCUGCCGUGGGCGCUGGAGAAUUGAGGGGGGCUGCUCCUAGUACGAGAGGACCGGAGUGGACGCAUCACUGGUGUUCGGGUUGUCAUGCCAAUGGCACUGCCCGGUAGCUAAAUGCGGAAGAGAUAAGUGCUGAAAGCAUCUAAGCACGAAACUUGCCCCGAGAUGAGUUCUCCCUGACUCCUUGAGAGUCCUGAAGGAACGUUGAAGACGACGACGUUGAUAGGCCGGGUGUGUAAGCGCAGCGAUGCGUUGAGCUAACCGGUACUAAUGAACCGUGAGGCUUAACC
rnacentral:rRNA from 1 species